AACAGGCUCCAUGCAGACAGCAGAGAGCCUGAUGUGGGGCUCAGACCCACAAACUGUGAGAUCAUGACCUGAGCCAAAGGUUGCCGUUUAACCAACUGAGCCACCCAGGAGCCCCUGCAUAACCUGGUUUCAACUGGUUUAUGUCCCACUUACAAGAGAAAAUGACCUACCUGACACAUGUCUGUUUAAAUCAUUUCACAUUUCUCAUUAAUUAAAUGAUUAUUAACCCUUAAGCUCAACAAGAUUCACAAAUCAAGUGUGAGAUUCAAAGAGUAAAAAACAAAAAAAAAAUUUUUGACAGUUUCAACUAAAACAUCUAUUGUUUUAGGGGUGCCUGGCUGGAUCAGUCGGUUAAGCGUCUGACUCUUGACAUCCACUUAGGUCAUGAUCUCACAGUUUUUGAGAUGGAGCCCCGAGUCAGGCUCUAUGCUUGGGCUUAUCUCUGCCCCUCUCUCUCUCUGCCCCUCCCUCACUAUGCUUGUUCUCUCUCUCUCAAAAUAAAUAAAAACAUUAAAAAAAAUCUAUUGCUUCUAAAGCUGAAGGCCUUAGGCUCACAGUCACCAUGGGAAGGUUAUUCCUUCUCCCAUUGUACUCUUCCAGUUAAGCUAAGCCAAAAGGCAGUGCUAACACCCACAAAAAUGAUUGGUACUAUAUCUGGAGUACCAUGAGAUCAGUCUUGGCUGGCCCAUAAUAUUCCUGUAAUUCUUUAAAGCAGUCUUUUAUUUGUCCUUUAAUUUCUUAAUCACUUACCACAGUGACUGUUUUCAAUACUUUUUUACUCUCCUUAGGUCACCACUACACCCUCAUCUUUAUCCAAUCCUGUGUGAACUUUUUCAGGUUCCAUUCUCCACUCCUCACCACCUGCAAGCCUCCAAACUCCAUAGCUACCUAUACAGACUCUGUGUGUGUGUGUGUGUGUGUGUGUGUGUGUGUGUGGAUGUGCACGCGCCUGCAUACACGCGUGCAUGUAGCUAUGCGAUGUUGCAUAUAUAAACUAACAUCCUGUAUUUCUGGAACCAAUUUCAUUGUCUUCUAAAUAGUAUAUGUUCCAAGCACUCACUGGGGAGACCUGAAUGCCAGAGUUUAUGGUAAUCAUCAUCCUCAGUUUACAUUUAUUGAGUGUUUACUACAUAACAAGCUCUAUCAAAGUUGCUUCACAUUUAUUUUAUUAAUUUAUAUAAUCUUCUUAACAACCUGGGAAGUAAAUGCCAUCAUCCUCAUUUUACAGACAAGUAAACAGAGGCAAUGAGAGAUUAAGAUCACACCUUAGUAGAUCAUAGAACUGAAAUUCUAUCCCAAUGGCCUUACUCAGGUCCUGUUCUCAUAACUGCUAUGUCAUAGUGCCUCUUAAAGUCUCCACGAAGACAUUGUCCAAAAAUAAAUUCUUACAUUUGUAUAUAUAACAUUACAGUGUAUAAAUGGCUUUUAUAUUUAAAUGCCCUAUUAAAUUAAUAGUUAAGUUACUACUAUUCUUGUUUUACAAAUGCAGAAAAAAUUCAAAGAUUAAUGGACUUAUUUACCCAAGGUCAUUAAACUAAUGAGUAGUGAAUCCACAUCUCCUUCCACGGAAAGAAAGAAAAUUUAGAUCAGAAAAUUGUUUUCCCAUGGGCUCUUUCUGUGGAGAUAAAUGUUUGAAACUUUGAUGAAAAUAGCUGGUGAAAUGGAUUCUUUGUAACUUCAUACCAUAAAUGGCAUCCUCUGGGCUAUCUGAGGGACAUCAGCAUUAAUGAUCAAUUAAUAUCAUUAUUUAUUUUAUUUUUAUUCUUCAAAUUAGUAGUCCGACCUCUGCUGAAAUUGUUUCCUUUUUCCUUAAACACACUUUGAUUUUCAAAAUCAUUACUGCUGAGUGGGACCCCAUAACUGGGUGGAUGAGAAUAUGGAGAUUACAGCACAGUGAAGUAAAGAUAGAAGGGUGAUUUCACCAAUUCUUCAACAAACCUCUAUCUUUUCCUGCUCAAGUCACAGGUAAUAGAGAAGUAAACCCAGGCUUGGCUUUUUAUUUUAACUGGGAAAGCAAAGGUCUGGUUUUAUAAGACUCCUGAUUCUAUAAAGACUGACACCCUCACCAAACAAACAAAACAGAAUAACCCUUGUUGUGGAUUGAAUUAUGUCCUGCAAAAAGGUAUGUGGAAGUCCUAUCCCUCAGUCCCUAUGUAUGUGACCUCUCUGGAAAUAGAAUGAUUGCUGAUGUAAUUAGUCAGGUUAAGAUGAGGUGUUACUGGAGUAGGUUGGGCCCUUAAUCUAAUAUCACUGCUAUUUUUAUAAGAAGAGGAGAGAGAGACAAAAGGUAGAUGACCGUGUGAAGACUAAGGCAGAGAUUGGAGUUACGUGGCCACAAACCAAGGAACACCAGGACCUCCAAAGAGUGAGAAGAGGCAAGCUUUUGUGAGUGUUCAACAUUCAACCCCAAGAAACGUUCGGAAGGAGUGAUGAAGGCUGAAUACUAAAGAGUGCCAAAUCCUUGAAUGAAUGGGCAACUCUGAGCUAAUAGGCCAAGAAGAAAAAUUAAAUCACCUAAGGACCAUGAUAUUGGAAACCUGGAAACAACUAAAAGAGAAUGAGAAGGCAGAAAACUAACAGCACGCUCUCCCAUCUGUUAGUCUGUUUACCAGUGUCUCAGCAUCAGCUCAUGUAUGCCGAGGGUUUAUUCAUCCCAGCGUUAUGUGAGUAAAUUGGGAAAAUUGGUUUCCUCUGGUAAAAAACACUUACACUUCAAAGUAUUUUCCCUACAUUCAUACUCCUAAUUUUCCCUUUUUGAUCUUUACAUCUGUUGUCGUACAGAUCCAAAAGCCCCAAGAUCCUGACUUCCCCUCCAACCAUCCCAAACACAUGGUUAGUAUUUAACAUCCAGAGCUUCAUUUUCGUUUUUUACUACUUAUAAUUUUGAAUGAAACUAUCACAAGAAAUGAAAUUCAAAGAAAAGAUAAUAUCAAAUAUGUCUUUAAGACUAAAUUUAUUCAGAGUUUUAUAUUCAAAUCAAAUUGGUUUUUCUCUAUAAAAGAGGGGUUAAAUUUCUGGGGCUGUUGCCUUGGAGAAAAGUAAUAGGAAAAUCUAUAGGAAAGAAAUGUAGGAAGUCUGGUGCAGCUGAUUGCAUUCACACUGGGGAAACACAGCAGGGCUGUGAUAUUAUUACCUAUAUGAUCGCUAUAGCAUGUUUGUUCUUGGAUACCCGCAGAAGGAUAGGAAAUAUGUGUGAAGAGAAGGGAUAAGAUAAAUAUGUAAAUCUUUGUUACAAUGAUUAAAAUUACUCAGAAUUAAAAUUUGCUAUCAGUUAAUGUUUGGAUGUUUAUCUCAGCAACAAAAAGCUUAAGCUAUUUUAAUUUGAUUGUAUGGAAAUCAAGUGGUUGGUCUUUCGUGGGGUGCAGGGUUGAGACAACUUCUCAAUGUUUCUUUCUCAAUUUCAAGACCAUUCUGUAAUAGUUGGAGUCAAUGGCCAUAACUCUAUAAAAGUGUAUAAUUUGAAGAGAGCAUUCUCGAUCUUAAAAUAUUUUCCCAGCAGCUAUUGGCACCUGAAAUUUUGUCAUUACAGAUUGAUUUUAUACAAGAGCCUUGUAAAAGUAUUUACUUACAGGAGGUUGGAGGAGGUGAUACAGAAUAUAUACAAAUUUUCUUGGUGUGUAUUUUUUUUUAUUUUGAACCAUCUGAAUGUAUUAUAUAUUAUCUGUCAAAAAUAAAAUUUUUAAAUAAAAAAAAUUUUCUUGAAACUGUGAAAGUCUUCUGGAAGUUCCACUUGAAAUGUAAAUGCUUCAGGGGGAAAAAGGCACAUUUCUUGCAAGAAUUCCCUGAUAUUCAGCUGUGAAUGAGAGGAACCCUUGACCCAGAAUGAUCUUUCCCUA